rnacentral:rRNA from 1 species
ACGGGAGGCAGCAGUGGGGAAUAUUGCACAAUGGACGCAAGUCUGAUGCAGCGACGCCGUGUGAGGGAUGACGGCCUUCGGGUUGUAAACCUCUUUCGUCAGGGACGAAGCCUUUUGGGGUGACGGUACCUGGAGAAGAAGCGCCGGCCAACUACGUGCCAGCAGCCGCGGUAAGACGUAGGGCGCGAGCGUUGUCCGGAUUUAUUGGGCGUAAAGAGCUCGUAGGCGGCUCAUUGCGUCAACCGUGAAAACCAGCAGCUCAACUGUUGGCUUGCGGUUGAUACGGGUGGGCUGGAGUUCGGUAGGGGAGACUGGAAUUCCUGGUGUAGCGGUGAAAUGCGCAGAUAUCAGGAGGAACACCGGUGGCGAAGGCGGGUCUCUGGGCCGAUACUGACGCUGAGGAGCGAAAGCGUGGGGAGCGAACAGGAUUAGAUACCCUGGUA